UUCAAAACAACAAUACAUUGGUACAGUAAAAGUGCUAUUCAGACCUGACUGGUCGAGGACGACGAUCUGGUCUGAUCCAGACCUAACUGGUCUAGGAGGUCCAUCUAUCUGGUCUGAUCCAGACCUAACUGGUCUAGGAGGUCCAUCUAUCUGGUCUGAUCCAGACCUAACUGGUCUAGGAGGUCCAUCUAUCUGGUCUGAUCCAGACCUAACUGGUCUAGGAGGUCCAUCUAUCUGGUCUGAUCCAGACCUAACUGGUCUAGGAGGUCCAUCUAUCUGGUCUGAUCCAGACCUGACUGGUCUAGGAGGUCCAUCUAUCUGGUCUGAUCCAGACCUAACUGGUCUAGGAGGUCCAUCUAUCUGGUCUGAUCCAGACCUAACUGGUCUAGGAGGUCCAUCUAUCUGGUCUGAUCCAGACCUAACUGGUCUAGGAGGUCCAUCUAUCUGGUCUGAUCCAG